rnacentral:rRNA from 1 species
CUGCUGCCUCCCGUAGGAGUCUGGUCCGUGUCUCAGUACCAGUGUGGGGGACCUUCCUCUCAGAACCUCUAGACAUCGUCGCCUUGGUGGGCCGUUACCCCGCCAACUAGCUAAUGUCACGCAUGCCCAUCCGUCUCCGGAGUCGCCUCCUUUGGCCGAAAGAAGAUGCCUCCCCUCGGCCACAUGCGGUAUUAGGCCGGAUUUCUCCGGGUUAUCCCGCUGAAACGGGCAGGUUGCAUACGCGUUACUCACCCGUGCGCCGG